rnacentral:rRNA from 1 species
GGCGCACGGGUGCGUAACGCGUAUGCAACCUACCUUUCACAGGGGGAUAGCCCGAAGAAAUUUGGAUUAAUACCCCAUAAUAUUAUUAGAUGGCAUCAUUUGAUAAUUAAAGCUACGACGGUGGAAGAUGGGCAUGCGUCCUAUUAGCUAGUUGGAGUGGUAACGGCACCCCAAGGCUACGAUAGGUAGGGGUCCUGAGAGGGAGAUCCCCCACACUGGUACUGAGACAGGGACCAGACUCCUACGGGAGGCAGCAGUGAGGAAUAUUGGUCAAUGGUCGGAAGACUGAACCAGCCAUGCCGCGUGCAGGAAGAAUGCCUUAUGGGUUGUAAACUGCUUUUAUAUGGGAAGAAUAAGGCGUACGUGUACGUUGAUGACGGUACCAUAUGAAUAAGCAUCGGCUAACUCCGUGCCAGCAGCCGCGGUAAUACGGAGGAUGCGAGCGUUAUUCGGAAUCAUUGGGUUU